UUUUGCACUCUUCGAAUUCGUUUUUGCUCUCCCUCUAACAAUUUUUUUUUUAUUUCACACAUUUCUCUCUCUCUUUCUAUUUUUCAUCGAAAGCUUUCUUGGUUUCAGCCGAGAGCGAAGAGAAAAACUUUUCUCUUCUUCACCAAAUCUGCAGUCUAAUCAAACCGCAUCUUCAAUGGAUUUUAGGUUUCAACAAGAAACCCAUCAUCUAAUCAAAACCCAUCAUCAAGAAAUCUCGAUCUACAAAUUAUUUCCCUGAAAUCUAAAAAUCAAAUCAUUCAACCUCUGAUAUAAACUAGUUUGUUGGAUUAUCAUCAGGUAUAAACUAGUUUGUUGGAUUAUCAUCAGGGUUGUUGGCUUUUAUUGCAUUUGCAUAUAAGAACAGACUUAGAGAUUCAAUAUACUGUCCCUGUCCUUGUCGUGUUUGUCGGUAUUCUCGUGGGUUGAUUUGGCAAUGGGUGGAUUGAAUGGAGACAGUCGAAGUUUGGCGGCGGAUGUGAAACCGAGAAUUACUGAAGAGUCUGUAGAGAAACCUUAGAUUUGGAAGUUAACUGAAAUCAACGAGCCAUCUCAAUGUCGUUCCUUAUGCCUUCUAGAUAAUUUUUUAGCUCUACGGUACGUCUUCUCUUAACUACAAUCUUGAGUAGUUUACCCACUAGCUUAGGUGUUGAAGGCGUGACAUGCAUCCUAUCUUGUUUCCAUCUCCGCUUCGAGUUACCUUUACAUCUGCCUUUAACUGGCUAAAGCUAGCUGAGCCUAAUACAUACAGCAGAUAUACAAGGAAAGGGUUGCCACACUUGCACUGUUUGGACCUAGACUCCUUAACAGUUUGUGAUCGACUUCUUUAAUUGAGGUUUCUAGAUUGAUUUACACGAAUUCAGGAAUUGCCCUAUUAGCUUUUAGCAGCUAAUGCGGUUCACAAGUUGUGGAAAUGGCAGAGGAAUGAUCGUAACACAACAGGAAAGGCAACCACCAACGUGCCACCUCAAUUAUGGCAACCCUCUAGUGGAAUACUAAUGACCAAUGAGAUCAGUGAUACAAAGCCUGAAGAUGCUGUUCCUUGCUUUGCACUUUCAAAGAAUGAUUCUUAUGUUACGUCGGCAUCAGGAGGAAAAAUAUCACUUUUCAAAAUGAUGACAUUUAAGACAAUGACGACAUUCGCAUCUCCACCUCCAACUGCGACUUUUCUGGCUUUCCAUCCACAGGACAAUAACAUCAUUGCCAUAUGAAUGGAGAAAAACUGCCAAAUAAGUUAUGAAUUAUCUGUAACUUUUAUUUGUGAUUACCUGCAGUUGUGAAUGGUCAGAUUAAAAGAAUGCAAGAUGACGACAUCCAGUCGAAUGUCCUUGAGAUUGUUGGGUCGAAUGUACAAUCGACUUACAUUACGUGCCCUGCAGAUCCUGCUGCAACACUUGGUAUAAAGCUUCCGUUCUUUGUGAUUAUUGUGAAGAAUUCCAAGAAAUAUUUCACAUUUGAGAUUCAAGUGCUGGAUGACAAGAAUGUCAAGAGAGGCUUCAGAGCUUCAAAUUUUCAAGUCUGUAAGUCUAAUCAUAGUUCAAUACUUCUGCAGCCAAGGUUUUAAAAAGCGAAAGCGUGGGGCGAAGCGCUCUCAUACCAAAGCGUAAAGCGAGCUUUUUGAAAUAUAUAUAAAUAAGAAGUUAUCGACCUAAUAAAAGAAAACUACGAAGUUCAGACAUAAUGAAUAAUUAGACUAACAAAAGCAUAUAGCAUACUGAUAUUGCACAUUCUACCCAAGAGCUAUCUAAAUAUACUAGCCACGAAUGUUUGCAUCAUUCAUAUCAUAAUGUAGAUAGUCAUCAUCAUCAUGAUCAUCAUGCCCUAUAAAUUAGGUUUAUUAGUAUUUAGUUAGAAAACAUGAAACAGACCCUACCGCCUAAGACCUGAAGUGCAAAAAAGCGCCUUAAAGCGCGCCCCACAAACGCCUUUCUAAACCAUGUAUGCAGCCUUUCGGGUACUAAUAUAUCUAUGUUGAUUUUUUUCUUCGAGGGAUACAAAUUUUGAUUACACUAGGUCACCAUUUUUUUUCCGCAUAGAGACAUGAUAAACUUCGUUUGGAUAAUCAACGGAUAGGGAUAUGACAGACCUUUUAGGUGACUGAAACUUACAGUUACGAUGACACUUAGGAUAAACUUUGGUUUGAGGGGUUUUAACAGAUCACAGAUAAAUUAUCUUUUAUUAAGUGUGAAUACUUCAAUGAUUUACCAAGUGGAAACUAAAAACCCACAGGAUUUUAUGCUGUUUGACAUGGUAAUUCACUUGGAGCCUCUUCUUGUAGCUUCCCAGUUCAUGCUCUACAUUAUUGUGGCGACAUUUUAGUAAUAGUUGCAACCCUAUAUCAUGAUAUUUCCCUGUUUAUACUUUCAAACACAAAUAGAUAAAUAUCAGCUUCAUAUGGCCUGUAGAACCCCAGUCUGAAAUUGAGAUGUGGUAAUAUGUAAUAUGUCUGAUGAUGGUAAUGUACUUCAGUUAACUGUGUACUUGGUUGGAUUUUUUGAAUUUGCUUGUAAAACAGUGCUUUUCUUUGCUCUAGCCAUGAUACAAAUGUAAAAUGUAGCUUUCAAAAUUCACAACUCUUUUCUCCAUAUUCUGUAGUACAUAGGUCAUGAUUUGAAAUAGCCUGUAGGACCCCAGUCUGAAAUUGAGAUGUGGUAAUAUGUAAUAUGUCUGAUGAUGGUAAUGUACUUCAGUUAACUGUGUACUUGGUUGGAUUUUUUGAAUUUGCUUGUAAAACAGUGCUUUUCUUUGCUCUAGCCAUGAUACAAAUGUAAAAUGUAGCUUUCAAAAUUCUCACAACUCUUUUCUCCAUCUUCUGUAGUACAUAGUUCAUGAUUUAAAAUAGUUGUGUUGUCCUAGACAGCAUGAUUUAAAAUUUGAUAUGUAUAUAUGUGCAUGUAUUGGAUAUCUCUUACCAUUUGAACUUACAGUCACUUGGCCAGUCCCUGUGAUACUUAUUAGCCAAAUGAAGGUCUGAGCUUGGCAGAUGCAGUUCCUAUUUUCAUUCACUCAUUAGUUAUCAUAGUUAUUGACUUAUUUCAGUAUUACUUAUUGAGUUUUCAAUUACUGAAAGCCUAGUUCUUACAACAGUUAGUAUGAUAAUUCGUUAGAUCUUCUUACCGUCUAAAACAGGAGUUAGGAGAGAAAACCAUCCAAAAAGAUCCUUCAAAUCCUGAAAUUACGUCGCAAUCUUUCACUCUACUUGGAUUUGCUGAUCAGUGAAUGGCUGCAAGAAAAGCAGAAAAUUUUCAGAAAUUCAUUGUUGGGAGCAGUAGUGAAGCGACAUUUGCUGAUUCAUUUGAGAAACAAGAGUCUAUAAUUCGGGUUCUUGGAGAUUUUUGAUAAUUCUGGAGAUAAUUUAAAACCAAGUCAGAACAAGAGGCAGCAAAAAAAUGUAAACGCACGAUGGCAGAAGUAGAAAAUGCGUUGGCUAAAGAAGAACAAACGAAGAUGUAAAAGUUAAAGGAGGAUGGGAAACCUUUGCCCAAGGGCUUGGCUGAGGUUCAAUAGUUGAUGGGUUCAACACCAUUGGAUAUUGCCAGGUCUAAUUUAGCGCAGAGUGGUCUGAUAAGCUGGAACGCACUCUGCCCGUGUGGUUCUCAAAAUAGAUACAAAAGGUGUUGUGCAAAGGAUUGAAAGAAAGUUCCUCAGGGCAAACCGGCAAAGCCUUAUUGGUGAAAGAACAGCAGAAAGCUACUUGCUAUGAAAAUCUUCCAACUUAUAGUCAUUAAGUGAAUUGCAUGACAAGCACAGUGCAUUUCUUGUGUCCCCAUACAAGUUCUGGAGACUGCAAUGAAGCUGUAUAUGCUCUCACCUACUACAAAGGAAAACUUUACAAUGGACACUCAAAUGGCUCAAUAAAGGGUAUGGUAUGAAAGGUGUGCGUACGAGUUUGAAACCAUCAUGUACACAAUUGAAGAUUUGUUUUUUUUAUGCAUUUUUUUUUGACUUGGGUCAGUUUCAGAAACUUGGAUUCUUGAACAGUUCUGAUGAUCAACCAUAUGUUUGUGACGAUCAAUAAUAUGUUUAUUGAGAUUCUUUCCAAAUGAUAAAUUGGGUCUUCUAGUUCAUCUAGAAUGA